rnacentral:lncRNA from 1 species
CUCUCUUCUAGAGUUUGCCAUCCCCUGGGCAUCUGUAAGGCAAACAGUUCGGACUUUAUAACAUUGAGGGUAGCUAUUUUUACAAAUCACUCUUUACAUUUUUUAUAUGGGGGGAUUUCUUUUAUCUGUUUCUAAUCAAGUAGUGAUGGCCUGUCAGCUGAAUGCUGGAAUAAUUGCAUUAAGUAUGUGAACUGCCAUACCUAUUCCCACAUUCUAUUGAAUAAAUAUUUCCAAAGUCUGCC